ensembl:lncRNA
AGAACGAGAGAGAGCGCCUCGAGGAUGAAAACCGAAAGCUUCACGCUGAACUGCAAAAAAUCAAGAUAUCUCGCUUCGAGCCCCAGCAGGCCUCAACCUCGGAACCAGAAGAAGGCAUCAUCCCGGACUCGCCCAUCCUGAUGAGCUCGCUGCCUGUUCCCAACAAACUGAAGAAACGGAAAGACGUGGACAAAGGGAAGCACGUUCGAUAUGCAGAGAUGCCUCUGCCGUGCAAGUCGCUCUUCAGCGGUCAGUCGGUAUUAAAAAACGGUUCAGAUUUUCUCAAUCGAGUGCGUGAUUCCGCCAAGUCUCCUAACGUGUUUGGUUCUGUUUCUAUAGCACCGGAUACGCAGCCUGUUGACGCUACAAAGAGUCCCGGAAGACCACAAGUGCUUGUUCCUGACACAUGUGUACUGGACUCAUCCCAAGUCUUGAACGACGUAAAUCCGAACCAGGAAGAAGCGAUAGCAGAAACCUGCGGCCUUGAACUCCGUGACAAGCCUCACGUGAAAACUGCAGGCCAGCAAAGAAGUGUAAAGUCUUCCUGGAAGCACGACUUUUGUUUAAAACCAUACCACUUAUCCCCUCCCCCUUCGGCGCUGUCCCACAGUGCAGCCACGCCCACAGAAAAGUCCCCAUCGCUUCUCCACAGCGUCAAAAGGUUCUCAGAGGAUGGAUCCAACAACAAAGCAAAACGGAAGAAGGAGGAAAGUGAACCAGAGAUGCAAGAGGAUGACAAACCGGGGGUCCGGGGAGGGGCGGACAAACCGAACGAAGGCCGAAAAAUGCAACCAGAACUGCUGAAACGAAGCUCCACACCUUCAGCCAGUCCACUUUCGAAGGAGUGCCUGGUGAACGGCAGGGAUCAGUCUGCACAAAACCGGAGUCUGAGCCAAAGGCCAAAUGUCUGUCCUGUUUUCAAGAAGCCAAAUGUGAAGGCAAAAUCCAUCGAGUGCUUUUUUAGGAGCAAGGCGAAUCCCCAGGAGGAUCCGAAUGGCUCAUGUGAGCAACAGAAAGGAAAAGAUGCUGGAUGGAGGCCCAAAGUGGAGCCCGCGUGGAGUAUUGACCCGGCGCUUGGCCCGUCCAUGUACGACAGCGAGUGGAGAGGCGACGAGGUAACGUCACAUGACCUGAUCUCACCCGGCGUCAUUGUGCUCAACUCAAAUGCGCCAUCUUUUAAAUAUUUUUAUUGUUGCUAACCCUGAGAAACAUAAUCUAAUUUUCUAUGUCUGACCUAAAUAGUUUUUUCUCCUAACAAAAUACUUUUUUUUAACCUGGCAAAUAAAGAGCCAGUAAAAGUGUCCAUGGCCACUGUUUCUUUUCACUGGUAUUUUAUGUGGUCCAAAUAUGUCUUGAUUUAAGAUGAAGGAAGAAGAAGAAGA